rnacentral:lncRNA from 9 species
AUGGUCAUUAUCUUGGUUGUCUCCGCUCCCAAGAGGCAUUUUCACACAAACCCUGUGUGGGGAGGUAACGGUUGGAAGUGCACCCCAAAGAGCAAGAUCUCUCUAAGUAGAACUUGGAUGCUGGAGGCUCUGCUGGGCAGGUGGGGAUUGUGGGCAUUGAGGGCUUGGCCUGGGAGUCAGCUGUUGGUCAUUUCCCUGUGGUCUUCUGCAAUCAGUAUAUCACUCGUUCUCUCUGUUGUCAUGUAUUUUCCAGACUGUUGCUUUGGGAGCAAAGGAUCGUGCUUCAAAAGUCUGAGGACAAGUUUGUCCUCUGCGAGCUUGGCUAGAAUAAUUCCCCGGUGGCCACACAACAGGGUGCACCUUGCCACUGAGCCAGAUGAAGCAACGCACGCCGACGAUGUUGUGGAGGCCGGUGGGAGUGAGAAGACCGAGGCAAAGCCCCGGGCUGGGGGACAUGAGGACGAGGCGGCCCCAGUACCUGAGGUGGAGGAGGAGGAGGAGGCGGGCCAGCCCCUUGAAAAUGGCCAGGAGGAGUCCCCAGCCAUCGCCUGGGCUGAGCCGGAAGACGAGCCUGGCCCCAAGGUGGACGGGGCGGACGAUGAAAUCUCUUGGAGCUUGGAGAGUGUGUGUGAGAGCGACCUCGCUGACAGCAACCUCGCAGAAAGUGAUCGAGACUCGGUGGCGGAGCGCACCGACUGCCGCCAGGAUGAGGAGGCUGCAGGAACUCACGACGACGAUGUUGUGGAGGCCGGUGGGAGUGAGAAGACUGAGGCAAAGCCCCGGGCUGGGGGACAUGAGGACGAGGCGGCCCCAGUACCUGAGGUGGAGGUGGAGGAGGAGGCGGGCCAGCCCCGUGAAAAUGGCCAGGAGGAGUCCUUAGCCAUCGCCUGGGCUGAGCCGGAAGACGAGCCUGGCCCCAAGGUAAGCUCACCUUUCUUGAUGUGA